GGCGGACGGGUGAGUAAUACUUAGGAAUCUACCUAGUAGUGGGGGAUAGCUCGGGGAAACUCGAAUUAAUACCGCAUACGACCUACGGGAGAAAGGGGGCAACUUGUUGCUCUCGCUAUUAGAUGAGCCUAAGUCGGAUUAGCUAGAUGGUGGGGUAAAGGCCUACCAUGGCGACGAUCUGUAGCUGGUCUGAGAGGAUGAUCAGCCACACCGGGACUGAGACACGGCCCGGACUCCUACGGGAGGCAGCAGUGGGGAAUAUUGGACAAUGGGGGCAACCCUGAUCCAGCCAUGCCGCGUGUGUGAAGAAGGCCUUUUGGUUGUAAAGCACUUUAAGCAGUGAAGAAGACUCCAUGGUUAAUACCCAUGGACGAUGACAUUAGCUGCAGAAUAAGCACCGGCUAACUCUGUGCCAGCAGCCGCGGUAAUACGAAGGGUGCAAGCGUUAAUCGGAAUUACUGGGCGUAAAGCGCGCGUAGGUGGUUCGUUAAGUUAGGAGUGAAAGCCCCGGGCUCAAC
rnacentral:rRNA from 1 species